AGCUUCCCGCAGUGGCCGUAUGGUAACCAAUGAGGUUUAUCCGAGGCGCGAUUAUUGCUAAUGGAAAACUUUUCCCAAUACUCUGCUGUGAUGACUUGCAAUAUAGUCAGCACUGGCAAUUUUGGACGGUCUCUACGGAGA
ensembl:snRNA U4 U4 spliceosomal RNA